AUUGAACGCUGGCGGCAUGCUUUACACAUGCAAGUCGAACGGUAACAGGCCGCAAGGUGCUGACGAGUGGCGAACGGGUGAGUAAUGCAUCGGAACGUGCCCAGUCGUGGGGGAUAACGCAGCGAAAGCUGUGCUAAUACCGCAUACGAUCUAUGGAUGAAAGCGGGGGACCGUAAGGCCUCGCGCGAUUGGAGCGGCCGAUGUCAGAUUAGGUAGUUGGUGGGGUAAAGGCCCACCAAGCCAACGAUCUGUAGCUGGUCUGAGAGGACGACCAGCCACACUGGGACUGAGACACGGCCCAGACUCCUACGGGAGGCAGCAGUGGGGAAUUUUGGACAAUGGGCGCAAGCCUGAUCCAGCAAUGCCGCGUGCAGGAAGAAGGCCUUCGGGUUGUAAACUGCUUUUGUACGGAACGAAACGGUCCGGGCUAAUACCCUGGGCUAAUGACGGUACCGUAAGAAUAAGCACCGGCUAACUACGUGCCAGCCGCCGCAGUAA
rnacentral:rRNA from 1 species